ensembl:snRNA
GUGUUGUAUGAAAGGAGAGAAGGUUAGCACUCCCCUUGACAAAGAUGGAAGAGGCCCUUGGGCCUGACAACACGCAUACGGUUAAGGCAUUGCCACCUACUUUGUGGCAUCUAACCAUGGUUUUUA